GAUGAACGCUGGCGGCGUGCCUAAUACAUGCAAGUCGAGCGAACAGACGAGGAGCUUACUCCUCUGACGUUAGCGGCGGACGGGUGAGUAACACGUGGAUAACCUACCUAUAAGACUGGGAUAACUUCGGGAAACCGGAGCUAAUACCGGAUAACAUGUUGAACCGCAUGGUUCAACAGUGAAAGACGGUCUUGCUGUCACUUAUAGAUGGAUCCGCGUCGCAUUAGCUAGUUGGUAAGGUAACGGCUUACCAAGGCAACGAUGCGUAGCCGACCUGAGAGGGUGAUCGGCCACAUUGGAACUGAGACACGGUCCAGACUCCUACGGGAGGCAGCAGUAGGGAAUCUUCCGCAAUGGGCGAAAGCCUGACGGAGCAACGCCGCGUGAGUGAAGAAGGUCUUCGGAUCGUAAAACUCUGUUAUUAGGGAAGAACAAAUGUGUAAGUAACUAUGCACGUCUUGACGGUACCUAAUCAGAAAGCCACGGCUAACUACGUG
rnacentral:rRNA from 1 species